UUCGUGCUACAGUAUAUACUUCCACAAUCAAGUGUAAAAGUGAAAUUUAGUGUCAAGAAGCAUAUAUUUGCAAUGUUUAAUUGACAAGCGUGUGCCUUUACAAGUGUUUUAGCUCGUGUACAGUUGAUAUAAUGGAACUAGCCAUGAACUAUGCCAGCACAGUCUUGAUCAAAACAUUCCUGCAGAGUUUUGUUUAAACAUCUUUGGAACAAUAGAGUAUUUAAAGGCAUCCUAAUGAGGUUUUUACUCAAGUCUCGUCAUGGAAUCUUGACACGCAGCCAUCAUCUGAUCACACAUCAAGGUUGCAAGGCUACACUUUGUAACGAGAGUCUGGUGUAUAAAGCAUCAUGGUUGAUGUAAUAUCUUGCUCCUUUUGCAUGUCAUCGUUGGCUGUAGUAAUAAGCCUACUGUGUCAUCAGAACUGAAGCCACUACAUCUACUUCGGUGACUUCUUCACUCAAACAAGGAUUUUAGUACAUAUAUGUGUCAUAUUGAGUAUGAACGUCUCAUCAGAACCCAUUGUAAGUAUACGAAUAAUUUACUAAUAAUACAACUAAGACAGCUAAGUUCUGAAAAAUUCAAUG